UACGUAGGUGGCAAGCGUUAUCCGGAAUUACUGGGCGUAAAGCGCACGCAGGCGGCUCGUCAAGUUCGACGUGAAAGCUCCCGGCUUAACUGGGAGAGGUCGUUGAAAACUGGCGAGCUUGAGGCAAUGAGAGGGGUGUAGAAUUCCCGGUGUAGUGGUGGAAUGCGUAGAUAUCGGGAGGAAUACCAGUGGCGAAAGCGGCACCCUAGCGUUGUUCUGACGCUCAUGUGCGAAAGCGUGGGGAACGAACGGG
rnacentral:rRNA from 1 species